CCUACGGGUGACUGCAGUGAGGAAUAUUGGUCAAUGGGCGCGAGACUGAACCAGCCAAGUAGCGUGAAGGAUGACUGUCCUGAGUGUUGUAAACUUCUUUUGUAAAGGAAUAAAGUGAGGCACGUGUGCCUUUUUGUAUGUACUUUAUGAAUAAGGAUCGGCUAACUCCGUGCCAGCAGCCGCGGUAAUACGGAGGAUCCGAGCGUUAUCCGGAUUUAUUGGGUUUAAAGGGAGCGUAGAUGGGUUGUUAAGUCAGUUGUGAAAGUUUGCGGCUCAACCGUAAAAUUGCAAUUGAUACUGGCAGUCUUGAGUACAGUUGAGGUAGGCGGAAUGCGUGGUGUAGCGGUGAAAUGCUUAGAUAUCACGAAGAACUCCGAUUGCGAAGGCAGCAUACUAAACUGCCACUGACAUUGAUGCUCGAAAGUGUGGGUAUCAAACAGGAUUAGAUACCCGGGUAGUC
rnacentral:rRNA from 1 species